UGCCACUAUUUUUGGUGGGUUUUAACGCUGGUCGUGGUGCCGAGGCUUCAGAAUUGUGGUGGCAGUGCUUUUGUUUUCAGGGUGAUUGAGCACGAAAGAUGAGGGGAAGAGAAGGGAUUUUUCUUUUUGAAUGAAGGGUUUUUUUUUUUUCCUAAAAAAUAAUCUUGAGAGGCGUUGAACGCUGUUUUUUUAUGUUCUCAAGCUAUCAUGAGCUAUCGAUCAAAAUUGAUAUCAAUUAAAAACUUAUAUAAUUCUAUAUAAUUAUUUAAAUUUAAAUUCAUACAUUCAGAUUACUUGUAUUUAUUUUGAAAAUUUUAUUAACUUUAUGAUUAAAAUAAAAAUUUAAUAUCUAUUUUUAUUUUUAUAUAUAUAAAGAACCUUUUCUUUUCUAUAAAAAUCUAAUUUGUUAGAAGUUUUAUUCAACCUGAAAAAUAAUUAGAACAAUAACAUAUAGUUUCUAAAAAUAAUUAAUUCUAUGUUUUUAUAGUUUUUUAAAAUAUUUUUUAUUAUAUUAAAAUAAUAUUUUUUUAUUUUUAAAAUUUAUUUUUGAUAAUAGCAUAUUAAAAUAUUAAAAAAAAUUAUUUUCUAAUUUUCUGGCUGCCCAGAGCAGUAAUGCUCGGACAAACUUGCUCAAUGUUUUCAAACACUUGAUUUUUUCUUUUUACCUUCUUUGGAAUGGCUGCAUCUCAAGCAGCUCUCCUCUCACACACAGGUUUUUCCUGGAAAAAUUAUCAGAUCCAGGAUGGGAGGCUCUAGACAGGAGAGGUGCCAAGAAGCAGAGCUUAAAAUGACAAUCCAUUAACGUAAGAAAAGCCAGCCUCCUCUGAUGCUUCACAUGUCAAUCCGUUUAUUCAACUGGACAAGGAACAUCUUUUCUUGAGUUGCCUUCUAACAUGGUACAGGCAAAGGAUUCCGAGUUAUACAAGCCAGUAUUGAUGGAGUCUUACACCUCACCAGGGGCUUCAUAUCCCGCAGUAGUUUUCUGGUUUGAAUUGCUAGUAGUCGCAUUGAAGUUCGAGAGUAGUCUUACACAUCAUCAGGUACAUUUUCUCUGUUUUGAGGUUGCAGUAUUGAUAAUACACCAAUCCAAGGGUAACUGUGAGCUACAGAUUCAAACCUUUCGGGAGUUCAGUGCUCAAACAUCAUAUUCCCAGAAAUGAAGUCAAAAGAUACUACUCACUGCAUUGAUGUUCAGUGUUCCUUCUCUAAAACAGAAUGCGAACUCUGUGUAUGAAGAAAAGAAGAUGCAAUUAAUUUAAAGUUUCUUCAUCCUUGCAAUCUGCGUUCUUUAUUAUCUAGCAUCUAUUCUUUGUUUUGUGCCCAACCCCAAUGCCCCUUUAAGAGUUCAAAAAAAGGAAACCAAACUCUGUCCACCGAGAAAAUAAAAAAAAACUAAUUUAAAUCUUUUAUUCCUUGCAAGCUGAAUACCUCUUUAAUAUUUAGCAUCUCUUGCUUCCUCUGUAUCAAAGCAACCUAAUUUUAAGAUUUUUACUCACAUGUGUUGAUUUGCGAAAGCUGAUUGCCGGAGCUUUAGAAUUAUAGGCAAUACAUCUUGGAAGUUGCAUCUAUC